GUGCUUGCUUUGUCAACAUGCAUACUAAAACUGGAAAAGCACAGAGAAGAUUAACACAGCCCAUGCGCAAGGACGGUUCACACGUUUUGUGAAUCAUUGCCUAUUUGU